rnacentral:misc_RNA from 1 species
UUGAAUGAACUUGAUGUGGUUGUAGCUGGUCCUUUCAAGGACAUGUGCACGCCCAUCAUCUUUAUCUUCCCACCUGUGCACCCUUUGUAGACCUGAAUAGUAAUUUCUGAGGCAACUCAGUCGGGAGGACUGCUGUGCGUAAAGCCAGCUUUCCUUGCAUUGUUCAGGCCUAUGUUUUUCACAUACCCCUAAAAAUGUAACAGAAUGUAUUAUUGGGCCUUGUGCCUAUAAACUAUAUA